CAGUAGCCACGGGAAUACGAAGGGUGCAAGCGUUACUCGGAAUUACUGGGCGUAAAGCGUGCGUAGGUGGUUGUUUAAGUCUGCUGUGAAAGCCCUGGGCUCAACCUGGGAAUUGCAGUGGAUACUGGGCAACUAGAGUAAGGUAGAGGAUAGUGGAAUUUCCGGUGUAGCAGUGAAAUGCGUAGAGAUCGGAAGGAACAUCUGUGGCGAAGGCGACUAUCUGGGCCAUUACUGACACUGAGGCACGAAAGCGUGGGGAGCAAACAGGAUUAGAUACCCGAGUAGUCCCUGUCUCUUAUAC
rnacentral:rRNA from 1 species